AUUUAUACUUGAGUAAAGGUCCAAUAAUAACCCAUAACCUCAUCCCCUGACUUCUCAGCAGAGUUCACGACCCUUCCUCUUUCUUUCUGGUGGCUUUUGGAUGUCUGCCUCAUAGUACUUAUCCUGUCCUAUUGGAAUAAUCUGUUUAUGUGCCUGUCACCUGCAGUCAGCUGUAAACAUCUCUCAGUUCAAAACAGGUCAUAAAGCAACAGAGACAAUUUGCAACAUCAACAAUACAUUAGGGCCAGGAGCUGCUACCAAACGCACAGUGCAGAGAUGGUUCAAGAAGUUUUGCAAAGGACACAAAAGCCUUGAAGAUGAGGAGCAUAGUGGCCGGCCAUCAGAAGUUGACAAUGACCAAUGGAGAGCAAUCAUCGAAACUGAUCCUCUUACAACUACAUAAGAAGUUGCUGAAGAACUCAACAUCGACCAUUCUAAGUCAUUCAGCAUUUGAAGCAACUUAGAAAUGUGAAAAAGUUCAAUAAGUGGGUGCCUCAUGAGCUGAGCAAAAAUAAAAACAAAUCGUCAUUUUGAAAUGUCGUCUUCUCUUAUUCUACGCAACAACGAACCAUUUCUCAAUCAGAUUGUGACAUGCAAUGAAAAGUGGAUGUCAUAUGACAACUGAAGACGACCAGCUCAAUGGUUGAACUGAGAAGAAGCUCCAAAGCACUUUGCACCUUGCUGUUUGCUGGUCUGCUGCCGGUCUGAUCCACUACCGCUUUCUGAAUCCCGGGGAAACGAUUACAUCUGAGAAGUAUGCUCAGCAAAUCAAUGAGAUGCACUGAAAACUGCAAGGCCUGCAGCGGCAUUGCUCAACAGAUAGGGGCCAAUUCUUCUCCUCAACAACACCUGACCACACGUUGCACAACCAAUGCUUCAAAUGUUGAACAAAUUCGGCUAUGAGUUUCCACUUGAGUGGAACAGUAGAUGGGAGGAAAGGCAUGAACCACACAGGAUUAUCUUUGUUGUUCACUUAGCUAAUGCUUUUGAGUUCCUGCCAUGUACCAGUCACCAUGCUAAGACAUAGAGAUGCAGCAACAAAUAAAACAGACCAAGUUCCCUUCCUCACGUAUCUUAAGAUCCAAGUGCAGGGAUGGGAUCAGCAAACUAGAACACGUGCCAAAGCUGCCCCACAUCUGUUUUUGUAAAUAAAAUUUUAUUGGGAAACAACCACACAAAUUCAUUUACACAUCAUCUAUGACUGCUUUUUCUCUACAGCAGCAGAGUUGAGUCAUUGUGAUGACAUUGUGUGGUCCACAAAGCCGAAAAUAUUUGCCAGUCUGGCUCUUUAUGGAAAAAGUACCUUGGUUUCAUGUCUUGUGGAAAAUGCACACAAUAAAUAAUUAAAUAUGGCCAGGCACAGUGGCUUAUGCCUGUAAUUUCAGCACUUUGGGAGGCCGAGGCAGGUGGAUCACCUGAGGUCAGGAGUUCGAGACCAGCCUGGCCAACAUGGUGAAACCCCAUCUCUACUAAAACUACAAAAAUUAGCCAGGCAUGGUUGUGGGUGCCUGUAAUCACAGCUACUCAGGAUGCUGAGGCAGGAGAAUCACUUGAACCCAGGAGAUGGAAGUUGCAGUGACCCGAGAUCAUGCCAUUGCACUCCAGCCUGGGAAACAAGAGCGAA
rnacentral:lncRNA from 1 species